UGAAACAAAAAUACGGUCAAGGAGGUUGCCUGUUGCUGCUGCUAUCCAGCUAGAAAAUGAAAUUUAAUAAAGUUUGGGGACCUAUUCAAGGUACCACAGUUAGAGAACACAUCUUUGCUCACUGCCUCAAACUGCCCAGCUCUUAGAAUGGUUCGCAACUGCCUCCUGGAUGUGGUGCCUCCUACUGGGCUUCUCAGGAAACAGAAGUUAUUAAAAAGUGGCAAAAGCGUUUGGAAUCUGCAAGUGCUAAGGAGGAGGCACAUGCCAUUGGCACCAUGCUGUAGUCUCUUCAUUCCCAACCAAUGGAAGGAGUAUGGGAUCUUGUUGACUCUAUGA
rnacentral:lncRNA from 1 species